UAUUAUUACUUGCUGAGCAUUGUUGCUCACCCUUGCUAUUCCUUUCUAACCAUUUCAGAAAGGCUUAAAGAUGAGAUGAUUGAUUGAGAUUGUGAGUAAGGCUAAUGCUAGGCGAGGAGACAGAGUUGAGGAUCCAGUGGUCGAGGAGUGUUCAGGAAAGUUGAUGAGGUUGGUGCAAGCUAGAGCUGUGCUAUAGAGAUUCAAGUGUAAGUCAUAGCUGGAAUAGUUGACAGUGAUUCUUCUUAUCGAAGAUGAUCUGAUUUGGUAAGAGAUGUUGUGUAAUAAUAGUGGUAGAUUCUAAUUUCAAUACUGUAACCUGGAUGCGAUCCUGUUGCUUUUAGGGGGUUUAAAUGUUCUCUUUCGAAUCAUUUAUUAAAGUUUAAAUGUUCUCUUGAAAUUCUCCUAUUAUGGCUUUCAAGUUUGAAAUUCAGGUUUUGAAAUCAUUCGAUUUAUGUUCUCAUUCAAAUCUUUUAUUAAAUGUUUUCAGGUUUUAAAUUCUCUGAUUUUAUUAUCUUUAAAUAAAAAAAUAAAAAAAAAAUUUACAGGUUUUCGAAAGUGUUUUAAAAAGGUUUUUAUUUGCAAAUAAGGAUAAUGCUAGGCGAGGAGACAGAGUUGAGGAUCCAGUGGUCGAGGAGUGUUCAGGAAAGUUGAUGAGGUUGGUGCAAGCUAGAGCUGUGCUAUAGGGAUUCAAGUGUAAGUCAUAGCUGGAAUAGUUGACAGUGAUUCUGCUCACCCUUGCUAUUCCUUUCUAACCAUUUCAGAAAGGCUUAAAGAUGAGAUGAUUGAUUGAGAUUGUGAAUAAGGCUAAUGCUAGGCGAGGAGACAGAGUUGAGGAUCCAGUGGUCGAGGAGUGUUCAGGAAAGUUGAUGAGGUUGGUGCAAGCUAGAGUUGUGCUAUAGGGAUUCAAGUGUAAGUCAUAGCUGGAAUAGUUAACAGUGAUUCUUCUUAUCGAAGAUGAUCUGACUUGGUAAGAAAUGUUGUGUAAUAUUAGUGGUGGAUUCUAAUUUCAAUACUGUAACCUGGAUGCGAUCCUGUUGUUUUAGGGGGUUGAAAUGUGCUCUUUCAAAUAUUUUAUGAUGGCUUUUAUAGGGGACACAAGGUAUACCUGUCUGUGUGAUAGGAGUUGGAUGGGACGCCAUCACUUGUGUGUGUUGUGAUUACAAGAAGGUUAACAACCUUUAGUAGUGUCUAAUAUGGACACGCAACAUUAAGUUCAUUUGAUCGUAUGGAUCUCCCAGUCACUCUUGUAUUCCAAUGUGGCGUAUUUUGAAAAUAUCUUGUUCCUCCGAAAUUUCCAAAAGAUUGAUUCUUGGGAAAUGAAGUUUGCAAUUGUAAAAGUUUUGAUUCUCCUAUUUCUUUAACUGUAAAGGUAUGCCAAGGUUGAUUAAGGGCGGAUGAGCAUGUGAUAUUAUGAAGUGUGUACAAUGAUUUUACAAAUGAUACGUUUUAGUUUUUUCGCGGAUUCCGAGGGCGGAAUCCUUAUAAGGGGGGAAGAAUGUAAUAUCCCAUAUUAUUAAAUUUAGAUUUGAUUAUUAUAAAUCUAUUUGUCUAAAUAUAAUUGUUGGCUUUAAUGGAAUAGUGAUCUGAUUAUGUGAAUAGUGUGUAUGUGAUUAUAUUUGUUAUGUGGAUCAAUAUGGAUUAUACUAAUUAUGCGUUCUCCUUCUUUCUCUGAUUCCGAGGACGGAAUCCCUAUAAGGAGGGUAAAUUGUAAUGACCCGGAUUUUUAAAAAUAUUUUUAUUAGUAUUAAAAGUGAUUUUCUUCAAAGAAGGGAAUAAGAUUUAAUAUUUUAUUCCAGUUUAAGGAGUUUUCAAAAUUUUAUAUUAAACCCCGGGUUAUUGUGUUAGUGAUAAAUGAUUAUAUUUUUAAAACUGAUUUUCAUAUAUUGUUUCGAAAAUUCUGUAUGAAUAUUAUGUGAAUAUAUGUGUGAUGUGAGUAAGUGGUAUUGGUCGAUUUGUUGGUUAAUUAAUUAUGGUUAAUUAUUAAUAUUAUAUGAUUAAUAUAUGAAUUUUUGUGAAUUUUGUAUUAUCUAGUUUACAGAGCUGAAUGCUCAUAUGUGUUCGUAUUUGAGAGAUUUCAAUUUCUAUAUGUUCAGGAGAAAAUAUAGUUUAGUUGGAUAUUUUCAUAUCGAUUUAUGGAAUGUUAGAUGAUUUUAUAAUCGAUUUACGGAUUUAAUUGCGUAUAUUUAUAUUUAUUUAUUAAUUAUUUGACUUCCGUAAAACCGUCCACUCGUAACGAUGUAGCAAAUUUUCUUCCCGAAAGUUUCAACAAAACUGACCUUUAGCCUAAUUUGAAUAUUCCGGACACUUUUCGUGUUUUGACUUUUUCGAUCCGGAGUACGGUUUUCCCCGGAGUCGGUCCGGCGGAGUUUUUCGGGUAUUUUAAUUGUUGAUAAUUAUCCAGUUUGUCUCGAUAAACGUGAAACGAGAUAUUUUGAUUAUUAUACUCAUCCUUAUCUUGUAAUAAUUGCAAUGGGACCCGCAGACCAAUAAUUGAGUUAAAAAGCCCCGUUUUGAUGAUUAUCUUGAAAACCAGUACCGAUUGGACCCCGCUUUAUUAAUAUAAAGCUAUUAAAUACGUAUUUUCAUGUCAUAUACGAUCCAAAGGGGUACCAAUUAUUUGUAAAUAUAAAUAGACCUUUCUAGAGCUUAUUUUCACCCGUAAAAUCAUUUCACCAGUUUCUUUCCACGAAUACCGAGAGAAACCGAGCGGUGUUCUUCGUGUUCUUCAUAAUCAAACGAAGAUUUGAAGGUGUUAUUGGAAUCCGAUGGAGGCGUAUAAAUAGUCAAAACGAAGCUCUUGACGAGUAGAAUCUAGUAUAAUCAUCCGUUUAUAUGCAGAUUGAACAGGUGAUUUUAUUUGAUUUUUAUAAAAUUCGAAUUAUUAAGAUUUAAAUAGUGGAUUUUUGCAAACGUGUUUGUUUGAUUGUUUUGAUGAUUCCAUGUUGUAGUACAUGUUUUUCUCGUCGUUUUGGUAUAUUAUAUGUUGAAUUUCGAGUUCGGAAUCAUAUAGAAAAGUCAGUUUGAUUAUUGGGUUGUGUUCUUGAGUGUUCUUGAAGGUUUGCAAUCGAUUUUGGGGGUUUUUAAUCUGUUAAAUCUGGAUGUUAUUCGAAGGCACCAACACGUUUAGUGCACUGAGUAGAGUUGAUUGGUAGCUUCAGAUUGAGUGGAGGUGGUCGGAGGAGGCCUUGCCGGAGUCCGGCAGUCGAGAAUGAAGGAUGGAAAUCCGGCCAUUUGGCCUCGUUUCUUCAAAUUUUAAGCUGUAGAAUGAGUUUGUGGUGGUGUAUUUAUGGUAUCUGGAGUUGCUGGUGAUUAACGGAGGCCGGGAACAGUAGUUCCGGCGAGUCAAGGGGGCGGCGAUGGAAAAUUUCCAUUUAGCCCCCAGACUUUUGAAGAUGGUGAAGUGUGUGUAUCAUGGUUUCAAAACUUACACAACGGCCCCUGUAACUUUGAAAAGUUACAGUUUAAACCUUGGGCCAAAACUUUCAAAAGUUUACAAAAUAAACCUUUUGAUUUAAUUUUCUAAAAUUGUUUUAUUUAAUUAUUUUAAAUUCCAAAAAUAGUUUUUAAUUAUUUCUUUAUUCAAAAAUAAAUCUAAAUUAGUUUAUUAAUUAAUUUUAAUUAGUAAUUAAUUAUUUUAAUUGGUCAAUUAAUUUAAAUAUUAAUUGAUUAAUUAUUUUAAUUAAUUAUUAAUUGAUUUUAAUUGAUUAAUUAAUUGGAUUUAAUUAAUCCUUUUUGAUUUAAAAAUUCCGAAAAAUAGUUUCGAGCUUUAAAAUAUUUUUCCAAAUUAUUUUCAAGGCUCGAUAAUUGUUUAUGAAUGAUUUCAAGUCCAAUUUCAAGUAUUUGGGACUUGAUUAUUUAUUCGAAAAGUGAUUCUUUUAUCGAUUUUAAUUCCGAAAAAUGUUUAAAAAUUCUGGAAAAUUCCCGAAAAAUCAUUUUUAACCCAAGACUUGAUUUAAUAUCAAUUGGGAUGGGAAACCUUAUGUGUUGUGUGUUGUCUGCUAUUGGUUGGAUGUGUUAUGUGCCGAUAGGAGAGUGAGAAAACUGUUUUGAGCAUAACUUUUGAUCCGUAAGUCGGAAUCAGGUGAAACGAAAGAGAGAAGGAAGCUUAUAACGUCUAUUUUAAUAUGAUGUGACUAUAUGGCUGAGUCUAUAAGGUGGAUAAUUGUUGAUAAGUAUGCAGAAUGUGAUAAUAUGUGAUCUAAGUGCUAUCAAGUGAUGAUUAUGUGAAGUACGUGUUAGUUUUGAUAUUGUGAAGUGAUAAAUGAUUCGUAUGAUUGAUAUUGGAUAAGAAUAUAUGGAUUAUAGCUAUUGGAUUUUGUUGGUUGAUUAAUGAUUGAGAUAGGAUAAUAGGUGGAUAGUCUUAUACAUAGACGAGACGAUGUCGGAUUUUCGAUAAGGAUUUAUAUGAUAAUUGAUUGGUGAUAUGUUAUGUGGAAUAUGAUUGACUAUAUGUUAGAGUCAAAGCAUGCUUAUGUGUUACGUGGUAUCUGAUAAGUUUAAAGGGGUAUAUAAGUGGGUAUCGGUAUACGUGAUAUGUAUAUGCGAUAUAUUGUUUAGUGACUAUAGUAUUAUCUUAUUCUCGUAAAGGAUUUGGACGAGACGUGUACGCUCGAAGAGGUCAGGAAGUCGAAAUGGUAUUGCAAAGCGAAUAAGGGAUGAAUCGAGUAAGCGAAGCGAUGUGGCGAAUAGAGUACGGCUAGAGAUGGUCUAGAAAUUAUAAUAUGGAUAGAUUGUGAAAGUGGAAACAUGAGAUAGAGAUGUGAGACUGGAGUCAGAUUUAAGGCAAGUAUCCUGCACCCUGCUUUUGGAUAUAUUGCAUAUUCUGAUCCAUUCUUUUUAUAUGUGUUGCAAGUAUCCUAAACCUUUCUCUUGGAUAUAUUGCAAAUAUUCUGAUCCAUUCCUUUGGUAUAUGUUUCAAGUAUUCAUACCUUUCUUUUCAAUGUUCGAAAGUGCGAGUAUUCUGACCCAUUCUUUCUAAUCUUCAAGUUUCUAAAGAAUUUCCGUUUUACAAAUUAAUUCGAAGUUCAGAUUGUCAUUGAAGCAUGUGUUGCUCAGUGAUAGUUAGAGCUUUGAAUGAAUUGGGAUCUUCUUGAUUAUUCAACCCGCCAUUGUCAUGCUGGUUUAGCAGGCUAAAUUCAGUUGCUUAGCCGAUAAUGGAGGAUACUGAAUAGUUGAGGAUUUCCUGAACUGUGAUUUAUGAAAUGAUGGAUCAUGAUUUAUGAAUAGAUUAUUAUCAAAGUUUGAAUUGGAAUUAUUCUGUUGUUGAUGAUAUUUAUGAUGAUGUUCUGUUAAUUUACAUUGGCUUCUUGAAUUGAAUUAGAGAAUUGGAUUAUUGUUUUUAUAUAAACCUGUGGACCAGAUUCGUGGUCAUGUUAGGCCAAUGAGUGCCUUGGAUCCAGUGAUAGAGCAUGGCGGGGCCUGCUCGGGGUUAGUGCGGAACUGAUCAGCUGCCUAACCUUGGUUUUAAUUAAAAUGUGAUAGUCCAAUUCAAUAAUUCUUUUGGAAAGAUUGAAUUCCUCAGUAUUCAAUUGCUGCAAGGUAUUGUGAUUUUCUUAUACAAUACCUAAACUCGGAACUCAGGUUGAAUCCUUUUAUAUCUUGAACUCGUGAACUUCUGUUAUAUCAUUUCAGAAUUUUCAUUGUUUAUUAUUACUUGCUGAGCAUUGUUGCUCACUCUUGCUAUUCUCUUUUAACCAUUUCAGAAAGGAUUAAAGAUGAAUGGCUAGACUAUGAUUGCGAGUAAGGCUAAGGCUAGGCGAGGAUUCAGAGUUGAGGAUUCAGUGGUCAAGGAGUAUUCAGGAAGAUUUAUAAAGUUGGUGCUAGCUAGAGUUGAGCUAUUGAGAUUCAGAUGUAAUUCAUAGCUGGAACAAAUUGGCAGUGAUUCUUCUUAUCGAAGAUGAUCCGAUUUGGUAAGAGAUGUUGUGUAAUAAUUAGUGAUGGAUUCUAAUUUCAAUACUGUAACCUGGAUGCGAUCCUGUUGAUUUUAGGGGGUUUAAAUGUUCUCUUUCAAAUCUUUUAUUAA
rnacentral:lncRNA from 1 species